CCUACGGGAGACAGCAGUGAGGAAUAUUGGUCAAUGGUCGGGAGACUGAACCAGCCAAGCCGCGUGAGGGAGGAAGGUACAGAGUAUCGUAAACCCCUUUUGUCAGGGAACAAAGACUGGGACGCGUCCCCGGAUGAGUGUACCUGAAGAAAAAGCAUCGGCAAACCACGUGCCAGCAGCCGCGGUAAUACGGGGGAUGCGAGCGUUAUCCGGAUUGAUUGGGGUAAAGGGGUGCGCAGGCGGUCUGUAAUGUCAGAGGUAAAAGCCCGGGGCUCAACCCCGGACCGCCGUUGAAACUGGCAGUCUCGAGUUGGAGAGAGGUAUGCGGAAUGCGCGGUGUAGGGGUGAAAUGCAUAGAUAUCGCGCAGAACUCCGAUGGCGAAGGCAGCAAGCCGGCUCCACACUGACGCUGAGGCACGAAAGCGUGGGUAUCGAACAGGAUUAGAUACCCGAGUAGUC
rnacentral:rRNA from 1 species